rnacentral:rRNA from 1 species
AUUGAACGCUGGCGGCAUGCCUUACACAUGCAAGUCGAACGGCAGCACGGACUUCGGUCUGGUGGCGAGUGGCGAACGGGUGAGUAAUACAUCGGAACGUGCCCGAGAGUGGGGGAUAACGAGGCGAAAGCUUUGCUAAUACCGCAUACGAUCUCAGGAUGGAAGCAGGGGACCGCAAGGCCUUGCGCUCACGGAGCGGCCGAUGGCAGAUUAGGUAGUUGGUGGGAUAAAAGCUUACCAAGCCGACGAUCUGUAGCUGGUCUGAGAGGACGACCAGCCACACUGGGACUGGGACACGGCCCAGACUCCUACGGGAGGCAGCAGUGGGGAAUUUUGGACAAUGGGCGCAAGCCUGAUCCAGCCAUGCCGCGUGCAGGAUGAAGGCCUUCGGGUUGUAAACUGCUUUUGUACGGAACGAAAAGACUCCUUCUAAUAAAGGGGGUCCAUGACGGUACCGUAAGAAUAAGCACCGGCUAACUACGUGCCAGCAGCCGCCGUAAUAC